UUAAACCAAGAAGGUUGAGUUAUGCAUUAUAUCGGUUAAAAGAUAGUUAGGCAAUUUUAAUGGGCUUAUUUAAUUGUUAUUUAGAAGUAAAAUUCGUAAAUACCCAAGAAACUUUAUUGUAGCUAAUGGGCUGAAGCUAUGACAGCCUUGAGGGAAACUGGGAUUAGAUACCCCAUUAUUCAAGGAAGUAAAAGAACAAAAGUUUACCAGAGUACUACGAAAAAUACGGACAUUUAAAACUCAAAGAGCUUGGCGGUGUUUUAGACUUUUUAGGGGAACCUGUCUCAUAAUCGACAAUCCACGAAAUACCUGACCUUUAUUUGCUUUCAGUUUGUAUACCGUCGUCGUCAGGUAACUUUUUAGAAAAAAGAAGUUAGCAAAUGGACCACUACAAUAAGUUCUUACGUCAGAUCAAGGUGCAGUCAAUAUAGAGGAGAGGAUGGGUUACAAUUAUUAGAAACAUAAAUACGGAACAGUAACUUGAAAUUGAACUAUGAAGGAGGACUUAAAAGUAAAAUAGAAUAUAUAAAUAUAUUGAAUUAAGCUCUGAAACGUGCACACAUCGCCC
rnacentral:rRNA from 1 species